CUGAUGAAUCACAGACCUGUACCCCUGCAACAAAUAAUAUAUUAUAUGUUAAACAAAACAAAAAAUCCUCCCGGUCUGGCACGUCCCUAAAUAUGGUGGUUCAUUGGAAGCAAGUUGAGUGAGCCUAGGGGGUACACAAACAAUUUUUUAUUUUAAUAGUGAUGUUUUUGUUUUAACAUUUAUUAGAAAAAAAUGUGAACUAGAACCUCCUGCUAAUGCUCUCCCCAGCAUUCCUGCAUCAAUGGAGGCUUAAAAAAGAAGGAGCCCCUGGGCCUCCAGCUUUGCUCAGCUCCUGAAUUCUACACAGUAGGGAACAGACAUGACAAACAUGAGAGCAGGCAAAGGGAGCUGUAGUUAUGGAUGCCCAGGAAAAUUCAGAAUUCCCUCCAGGGAAGUAGGCUUCCUGACUAUGGGAGGGAGCAGGUCCCUAGGGCCAGGGGAGGUGUGACCAUGAGGUCACAGGCUUGGCAUGCCCCCCUGUACCCCAAACCCCCUCCAACCAGCAGCCAGGAGAGGGCUGGGCAGUACCCAAGCUCAGCUGCUUCUUAAAACAGCAGUAACUGUCAUGUGUUCCCUUUACUGAGGCCUUCGCUCGUCUGCUCUCCAGUGUCUUUGGUACCCAGAUCCCAAGUCACGGAGUGCUUCUCUCCCAGCUGUGCCGUUUGUCCCCGGAAGAGACAGACGCCUGAAGAUAUCUACUGUCUGCAGAUGAAAACAAAAUGCCAGAAAAUGCCCCAUUUCCUGUCUGUCCAGCUGCCUUACAGUCUUUGGAUUCCGAGACUUGGACUGCAUGCACAGCAUGAGAUUACCUUAAUUUACGCUGCUCCCAAGUACACCUUGCGAAGCUCUGUUUAAACUGAAAGAUCUAUCCUUGAGGUCUCCACGCAGCUUUCACCACCAAAGGGAGGCCGCCAACCACACCAAGAGACCUGUCCCCAGCUCGGAAUCCCCGAAACCCCCAGAGCGGGGAGGAACGGCUCCAUUUCGCGUGACAGCUAGCUCGCUUGAGGAUCAGUGGAAAACUCAGCGACACUGGGAGUAAAGAAGUUGGAAAGAAUGUUGGUCUUUGCUGGGAUUUAAUAUGACAGAUUUCUGGCUCUGAACUUGGACAAGAUUAACUCUUCGUUCUGAAGGAAAAAAAGGAGGGGAAAAAAAAAAAACCCACCUCUCUGAAAUCACAGUUUGGUGGAAAAAUGUGCAGCUCUCAAAGUGUCACAGGCCAUCAGAUUUGCACGUUCCCUUUUUCCGGGGCUGCAUAUUUCCUGCGUCGGACAAUAUGUUUGUUACCCUUCUUCUGUGCCAGGGACACAUACAGUAAAUUGUCAGCUCGAACCAUGUAAUCUCUUAACCAGAAGGCUCCAACAUCUGCUGGCCAGUUGUCGCAUGGUUGGAUCAUUAACAUGGCUUCUAAUUUUACCCUUUGAAUUUAACAUAAAAGUUUUAAUGAGCGUAUGUAAUUCAUACUUUCCAACUUCAGAGAGUCCUGAAAGAGAAACCUAUGCUUUUAUAAUCCAA